GACGAACGCUGGCGGCGUGCCUAAUACAUGCAAGUCGAACGAACUCUGGCAUUGAUUGGUGCUUGCAUCAUGAUUUACAUUUGAGUGAGUGGCGAACUGGUGAGUAACACGUGGGAAACCUGCCCAGAAGCGGGGGAUAACACCUGGAAACAGAUGCUAAUACCGCAUAACAACUUGGACCGCAUGGUCCGAGUUUGAAAGAUGGCUUCGGCUAUCACUUUUGGAUGGUCCCGCGGCGUAUUAGCUAGAUGGUGGGGUAACGGCUCACCAUGGCAAUGAUACGUAGCCGACCUGAGAGGGUAAUCGGCCACAUUGGGACUGAGACACGGCCCAAACUCCUACGGGAGGCAGCAGUAGGGAAUCUUCCACAAUGGACGAAAGUCUGAUGGAGCAACGCCGCGUGAGUGAAGAAGGGUUUCGGCUCGUAAAACUCUGUUGUUAAAGAAGAACAUAUCUGAGAGUAACUGUUCAGGUAUUGACGGUAUUUAACCAGAAAGCCACGGCUAACUACGUGCCAGCAGCCGCGGUAAUACGUAGGUGGCAAGCGUUGUCCGGAUUUAUUGGGCGUAAAGCGAGCGCAGGCGGUUUUUUAAGUCUGAUGUGAAAGCCUUCGGCUCAACCGAAGAAGUGCAUCGGAAACUGGGAAACUUGAGUGCAGAAGAGGACAGUGGAACUCCAUGUGUAGCGGUGAAAUGCGUAGAUAUAUGGAAGAACACCAGUGGCGAAGGCGGCUGUCUGGUCUGUAACUGACGCUGAGGCUCGAAAGUAUGGGUAGCAAACAGGAUUAGAUACCCUGGUAGUCCAUACCGUAAACGAUGAAUGCUAAGUGUUGGAGGGUUUCCGCCCUUCAGUGCUGCAGCUAACGCAUUAAGCAUUCCGCCUGGGGAGUACGGCCGCAAGGCUGAAACUCAAAGGAAUUGACGGGGGCCCGCACAAGCGGUGGAGCAUGUGGUUUAAUUCGAAGCUACGCGAAGAACCUUACCAGGUCUUGACAUACUAUGCAAAUCUAAGAGAUUAGACGUUCCCUUCGGGGACAUGGAUACAGGUGGUGCAUGGUUGUCGUCAGCUCGUGUCGUGAGAUGUUGGGUUAAGUCCCGCAACGAGCGCAACCCUUAUUAUCAGUUGCCAGCAUUAAGUUGGGCACUCUGGUGAGACUGCCGGUGACAAACCGGAGGAAGGUGGGGAUGACGUCAAAUCAUCAUGCCCCUUAUGACCUGGGCUACACACGUGCUACAAUGGAUGGUACAACGAGUUGCGAACUCGCGAGAGUAAGCUAAUCUCUUAAAGCCAUUCUCAGUUCGGAUUGUAGGCUGCAACUCGCCUACAUGAAGUCGGAAUCGCUAGUAAUCGCGGAUCAGCAUGCCGCGGUGAAUACGUUCCCGGGCCUUGUACACACCGCCCGUCACACCAUGAGAGUUUGUAACACCCAAAGUCGGUGGGGUAACCUUUUAGGAACCAGCCGCCUAAGGUGGGACAGAUGAUUAGGGUGAAG
rnacentral:rRNA from 2 species